GCGGGCGUAGCUCAGUUGGUAGAGCGGCUGGUUCCCAACCAGCAGGUCGGGAGUCCGAACCUCCUCGCCCGCU
rnacentral:tRNA from 1 species